rnacentral:rRNA from 1 species
CCUACGGGUGGCAGCAGUGGGGAAUAUUGCGCAAUGGGCGAAAGCCUGACGCAGCGACGCCGCGUGAGGGAUGAAGGUCUUCGGAUCGUAAACCUCUGUCAGCAGGGAAGAACGGUCACUGUGCUAAUCAGCAGUGAAUUGACGGUACCUGCAAAGGAAGCACCGGCUAACUCCGUGCCAGCAGCCGCGGUAAUACGGAGGGUGCGAGCGUUAAUCGGAUUUACUGGGCGUAAAGCGCUCGUAGGCGGUAUGUCAAGUCAAGGGUGAAAUCCCCGCGCUCAACGUGGGAACUGCCUUUGAAACUGGCAGACUGGAGUGUGUGAGAGGAUAGUGGAAUUCAAGGUGUAGGAGUGAAAUCCGUAGAUAUCUGGAGGAACAUCAGUGGCGAAGGCGACUAUCUGGCACAUAACUGACGCUGAGGAGCGAAAGCGUGGGUAGCAAACAGGAUUAGAUACCCGGGUAGUC